AAACUCACCAUCUGGCCGUGGACACCUGUGUCAGCAUGUGGGUCCUGGUUCUCUUCAUCGCCUUGCCUGUGGGGUGCACUGGUGCCGCACCCCUCAUCCAGUCUCGGAUUGUGGGAGGCUGGGAGUGUGAGAAGCAUUCCCAACCCUGGCAGGCGGCUGUGUACAGUCAUGGAUGGGCACACUGUGGAGGUGUCCUGGUGCACCCCCAGUGGGUGCUCACAGCUGCCCAUUGCCUAAAGAAGUAAGUAGGACCCUGGGAUCUGGGGAGGGAAUGUCUGUGUCCCACAGGAAUAAUAGCUGGAUACUUCCCCCAGGGUCACUUCUCAGGUGAGGCUUCAGACUAAAGGAGAGAGGGAAGGUCCUGGCCCAGGUCGCACCAGGAGGCAGAGCUGGGGCUGGACCACUCUCCCCAUGGCUGCCUGGGUUUCUCUCUGUGUCUGAUCUUGCUGUGUCUCUUGGUAUCUGGCUCUGGUUAUGUCUGUAUGACUGUGUUUUGGUCUCUAUCUCCCUCUCUCUUUUCUGUCUCCCUGUCUCUGUGUCUCCCGUCUCU
rnacentral:sRNA from 1 species